CGCGCGUUGCCCAGUCCCCAGCCGCUGUUCAGCCUCGCCAUGCUCAUGCUCUAGUGCAGCCCUGUCAUCUCCAGGCCUCAGUCCAGUCGAGCCCCGCUCCAGUCGAGCCCAGUCCGGGCUCUAGCCCCGCUCCAGUCGAGCCCAGUCCGGGCUCUAGCCCCGCUCCAGUCGAGCCCAGUCCGGGCUCUAGCCCCGCUCCAGUCGAGCCCAGUCCGGGCUCUAGCCCCGCUCCAGUCGAGCCCAGUCCGGGCUCUAGCCCCGCUCCAGUCGAGCCCAGUCCAGUCGAGUCACGUUCAGGCUCCCGUUCAGUCCGGUCGCGCUCAGUCCUUGUCCCAGUCAGAGGGCACCGUCCGUCUGACGACUGUUAGUUCCACCCAAUCAGGCCCGACGUCUCCUCCGUCGAGCUCGGCAGCUGUAAGCAGUUAUGCCGGCUCCGGAGGGGACGCCGUCCCAGUUCCUGUCGGCCAUGUUGCGGCCGUUCCUGUCGGCCAUGUUGCGGCCGUUCCAGUCCCUGUUCCUGUUCCUGUCGGCCAUGUUGAGGCCGUUCCUGUCGGCCAAGUAGAGGUCGUUCCUGUUCCUGUCGGCCAAGAAGAGGUCGUUCCUGUUCCUGUCGGCCAAGUAGAGGUCGUUCCUGUUCCUGUCGGCCAAGUAGAGGUCGUUCCUGUUCCUGUCGGCCAAGUAGAGGUCGUUCCUGUUCCUGUCGGCCAAGUAGAGGUCGUUCCAGUCCCUGUCGGCCAUGUUGCGGCCGUUCCAGUCCCUGUCGGCCAAGUUGAGGUCGUUCCAGUUCCUGCUCCUGUCCCUGUCGGCCAAGUAGAGGGCGUUCCAGUUCCUGCUCCUGUCCCUGUCGGCCAAGUAGAGGGCGUUCCCGUCGGCCAAGUAGAGGGCGUUCCCGUCGGCCAAGUAGAGGGCGUUCCCGUCGGCCAAGUAGAGGGCGUUCCCGUCGGCCAAGUAGAGGGCGUUCCCGUCGGCCAAGUAGAGGGCGUUCCCGUCGGCCAAGUAGAGGGCGCCCCAGGCCCCGCUCCUGUCGGCCCUGUAGCGGUCGUUCCAGUCCCUGUCACCCUCGGAGCCGCAGCGCCCGCCGGCCUCCAGGAGGAGGCCGCGCCUGCCGCAGUUCCUGCGCACCUCCAGGAGGGGGUCGCGCCAGCCGCAGUUCCUG
rnacentral:lncRNA from 1 species